CCUACGGGUGGCAGCAGUGAGGAAUAUUGGUCAAUGGACGAGAGUCUGAACCAGCCAAGUAGCGUGAAGGAUGACUGCCCUAUGGGUUGUAAACUUCUUUUAUCUGGGAAUAACAUGUUCCACGUGUGGGAUUUUGUAUGUACCAUAUGAAUAAGCAUCGGCUAACUCCGUGCCAGCAGCCGCGGUAAUACGGAGGAUGCGAGCGUUAUCCGGAUUUAUUGGGUUUAAAGGGAGCGUAGGUGGAUGGUUAAGUCAGUUGUGAAAGUGUGGGGCUCAACCCUAUCAUGGCAGUUGAAACUGGCAGUAUUGAGUGCAGGAGAGGUGUGCGGAAUUCGUGGUGUAGCGGUGAAAUGCUUAGAUAUCACGAAGAACUCCGAUUGCGAAGGCAGCUCACUGGACUGCAACUGACACUGAGGCUCGAAAGUGUGGGUAUCAAACAGGAUUAGAUACCCCUGUAGUC
rnacentral:rRNA from 1 species